rnacentral:rRNA from 1 species
UGGCUCUGAAGAUUGAGAUAAUCGGGCUUGAUUGGGAAACAAUAAUAUGGUUUAUGUACUCGUUCUGGGUAAAUAGAAUUUAUUGAAAUUUAUUUUAAUGAAUUUCUUCCCCGGAUAGAAGUUUAGUUAACCAAUUGUGGAACUUUCUUGCUAAUAAUAUAUUAUAAAUUAAUAAUUUUUUAAUUGUUAUAUUUUUAUAUAUUUAUAACGGUUAUCAAUUAACAAUCAAUUCAGAACUGGCACGGACUUGGGGAAUCCGACUGUCUAAUUAAAACAAAGCAUUGUGAUGGCCCUAGCGGGUGUUGACACAAUGUGAUUUCUGCCCAGUGCUCUGAAUGUCAAAGUGAAGAAAUUCAAGUAAGCGCGGGUAAACGGCGGGAGUA